rnacentral:ncRNA from 1 species
AAAUGUGGACGGAUUUGAGCGAUUGCAACCACGUAAAAAAAAUGCUAAAACGGUA